rnacentral:lncRNA from 1 species
UGCGGUUAUCCAUCCAGGGGAAUCCAAACAACAGAUUUACCCACCGUGUUGGGUGUGGAUCAGACAGUGCUCUUGAGCAACGUGUUUCUUUCAUGUUGCUCCCCACCCUGAGCUACUAUCUGGAAGAGCCGAUGGAGAGGAAAACACCGUUUCUUUUUCUUGGGAAAUAGGCAGAGGCACGUGGAAAAUCCACUACAGCUGUUCACCGCACCUGGGAUGCAUUUAAUCAGAACAUCAAGCAUCAGCCCUCUAAAAACAGGGUGGGAGUCCCUUCCUUGGGGAGGAAAAGGUAAUGGCCCGUGACUGCCUGCACAGUUCCCCCAUAAAGGAUAGAAACAGAUUGGUGAUUGAGGCUUUAGAAAACUCUUUCUUUCCCUCAAAUAAGUAUCCAGCUGAUGGUCUUGCUGUGUGUUGUUUAUUCUCAAGCACUUCAGGGGCCACUUUCUCUGAAGCUCAACUCCUAGGACCUGAGACCUGGAGAGCUGGCAGCUCAUUCUGAUCACACUUCCACCACGCACUCGCUCUGAAACUGUGGGCAAACCAUUUGAUUUCUGCUGCCUUUGUCUUCCCAUAAAAGAGAUUUUUUUUUUUUUUUUGAUAAUUCUCUAAGAAAUCUCAAGUGGUUUUGAGAUCAAAAGCUAGUUUUGAUUCUCUAUCUCAUUUCUUCCAGCUAUUCUGAGGCUUGUUCUCCUUGGUUUACAGAGGUUUAUAAAAAUGCAUUAUUUUCCAGCUUCACAGGUGAGAGCUGAGGAUUCCAAAGAGCGAAGUGGAUUCUGGCUGAGGCUGAGCCGGUAAUCAGCAUUGUUGGCUUUUUCUGAGUAGGUGCAGAGAGUGAAUGUACAUUCAGAAAUGCUUCGUGGUCCCUGUAUUCCAAGAAAAAAGAGGUUCUACAGGCUCAUGCUCCAACCUCCUUUUCCAGCAGUCAUCAGUGUCCUACCAAGCUGAAAAUACUGUGAGAUCCUUCCUCCAGAAUCAGAGGUCACUUCUCCAGCAAGCUUUUCAACAGGGUUUUAACUCUUCUAUGCAGCUGGCAAAAACAUUGAUCCAGCAAACUGAAAACACACAGUGCAAAGCUGCCGAACACCUGCUAAAUAACUGAUGUAGACUGAAUUGUGUCUCCUCCCCACCCGGCACACCCCCAAAGUCAUAUGUUGAAGCUCUAACCCUCAAUGGGACUGUAUUUGGAGACAAGACCUUUAAUGAUGUAAUUAAGGUUAAAUACAGUCCCCAGGAUGGGGCUCUAAUCUGAUAGGACUGGUGUCCUUAGAAGAGGAGGAAGAGACACCAGAGAUCUCUCUCUCUGCAUGCACCCAGAGGAAAGGCCGUGUGAGGACAUAGAGGGAAGGCGGUUGUCCACAAGCCUGGAAGACAGACCACACCAGAAACCAGCCCUGAUGGCGCCUUGAUCUUGGACUUUCAGCCUCCAGAACUGUGAGAAAAUAAAUGUCUAUAGUUUGAGCCCUCCA